UUUUUUUUUUUUUUUUUUUUGGUUCGUAAAUUUAAUCAAGUUUGGAAGUUGCAGAUUCUCAUACCAUCCCUGUAACAAAUUAACAACCACACCACACCACACCCCUCACAGAUUCCUCUCUCUUUCACUCUCUCUCUCUCUCUAUAUGUAUAUAUAUAUAUAUAUAUAUAUAUACACUAACAAAAACACAAACACACACACUCAUGUCUCAUGACUCAUGAUAUAAAAUAAAAUAACGUAAUUGAAAAAUAAACCAGUUGCCACGUCGGGCUGUCUCAACUCUUUCCCUUACUAAACUACCCUACGCGGUAAAGUGGUAGGGGUAGGACUACCCUACAUGCACAAAAUCGAUGACCACAACCAAUUUGCCUGACCAUUUACUUGAGAGUGUAAUGCACGUAAAACCUUAGAAAUUUUGCCUUGUGAAAAUUGAUCCAUCUCAAUUUACCAAGACAACCUAGCUGAUUUUUCCGAAGAAUAAAAAGAGGAUUUUUCCGUCGUAUCAUAGAUAUAAAUAUAUUUUUGAAACCAAUUUAUAAUUUCAAAUACAUCACAUCACAAAAUGGUGCUAUAAUAUUAUUUUAAUUUUUUUUUGUUUUCAGUAGUAUAAUCUUCUAUCCAAACACACUGUUCCUUUCCUUCCGAGUGUCAAUAGACAGGCUGAAUCUGAGAAUUCCAUAUGCAAAAGUUCUUUUAACCAGGCAUAGUUGCCUAAAAUUUGAGGAAAAUAUUAUAGGUUUUCAAAUAUUUAUAUCAUCUCAAUUUUUUUAAAAAUUAGCAAUUAUAUUUUUGUCACGUCAUAUUCAGAAUUUGGUGUUGAUGCUUUGCCUUUAACGAUUCAGCAUAUAAUUUCACGAACACAUACAGGGCUAUUUUAACAAUUCAGUAACUUCUACAUAAACUAGAAAGUUUUUUUUAUAUAUAUAUAAGAAAGAUAAUGUAUAAAUUAAAAAUAUAUUAUAACGAUUUGAUUUAUAUGAAAUAAAAAGAUGGUAUAGAAACGUAUUCAUAAAAAAAUAAACAUUUUUUUUGGAGAAAGAAUGUCAAUCCAAACAAGUCACAUCACAAAUGAGUGAGUACAUGGUAAAAGGUUUGCUAAACUCCAUUCCUAGCUCUAGCUCUCUCCUCCUUAAUGCGUCUCUCCCUACAGCCAAAAUGUUAUCCACCAUGUACGCACACUUGGGCAUUUUCCUCUUCUCUUCUCCUCCACUUUUCCUCUCUAUUAUCACCAAACUUCAUAGCCCCUAAUCCAACUCCCCUCCCUUCCCCUCCCCAAAUAUCCUCCCCACCUCCUCUAUAUCUCUCCCUCUCCAGAGCCCAUGGGUUUCUUGUAGUGUAAUGAAAGUGUGAAACCUCCAAAAACAAACAAAACUGGACCAAAAACUUCUGCCAUCAGCUCCACAGCUUCCAAUUCUACCAACAACAAGACCUUGCACAACCCACAACCAAGAACAACACCAAAACCAAUACCAAUACCCAUCUCUCAAAAACUCUCCCUUUCAUAACUCACAGUUUUUUGUAUGAGUGUUUCGAUAAAUGGACUCUGCGAAGACACUUCAAAAGCCGGCAACUUUUGAAGUGCUCCGCAGCACUUAACUACUAAACCCCCCAAACCCCCCCAAGCGAUGUGGGAACUUAACCCCACAGGGUGCCCCGCUGCUAAGAGAUAAAGACCCCCCAGACUCCCCGAGACAGGUUUUUCCCUUUCAUAACUCACAGUUUUUUGUAUGAGUGUUUCGAUAAAUGGACUCUGCGAAGACACUUCAAAAGCCGGCAACUUUUGAAGUGCUCCGCAGCACUUAACUACUAAACCCCCCAAACCCCCCCAAGCGAUGUGGGAACUAUUUUAUAGAUAUAGAUAGCUACAGCUUACAAGAUACAAGCCUCCAACUAUUUUAUAGGUAGACUAGGCUAGAGUAGCCUUGCCGCCCCAACCCUUUUUAUUUUUAUUUUUCUUUUUUUCUGGGGUUGGGUUGGGGGUGGAGACUAGACUCUAGAGAGGGCAAUUUCUUGAAUUUUGUGUGGUCAUCUAACUGCCUGAAGUCUGAUUCUGAACCGCCCAGCUGCUGCUUUUGUGAUUGAUAUAUACUUACCCCUCAAGGGAGUCUGUCUUACCAUUUUAUUUUUCCUCUCUCUUAUAUGGUUAUAUUCUCUCUUCUGAUCAGAUCUUUCUCUCUCUCUCCCAUGAGCAUGUGAUCCUUCUGAAAAGGUACUUAUCUGAAACUAACAACAGACACCAGAAAAUCAUUACCUACAGACAAAUCCCAAUAAUACUACUGUAGUAUUCAUUGAUUGAUAAUAACAAAGAAAGAGAAAGAAGAGAAGAGGAGGAGGAGAAAAUGUUGUUGGAUCUGAAUAUUGAUGCUGAUGCUGCAGCAGCAGCAUCAGUGGACUCAGCUUGUGAUGAAACCGACCCUUUUCCUUGCCCCGUCAAAACCACCGCUGCUGCUACUGCUACUUUGUUAACUGAUCAUGAUUCCGGGGCCUCAUCGUCCGUCCUCAUCAUAGCCGACGAAGAAUCCAACAGCUCCUCCCCACCGACUCAUAACCAACCCCACCACCGUUGCACAACCACCACUCUCAAUUUCUCCAUCCUCAACACCACUGGGGAAGACCAUAUCAUCCAAAUUCUUGACAAUGAUCAAGAUUUCGACAAUGAUGAUCAUCGUCAAGGUUUGAUGACUAGGCAGUUUUUUCCUGUUGUCCCCAACAAUGACCCAUUCCCGUUCCCCACCACGACCACGACGACGACAGCCAGGCCUCCACAAUGGCUCAAACUGUCCGUGCCGGAGGCCGCCGCUGCUGGGGAAAUUGGUGGGAUAUAUAACAAGGGUCAGCAGCAGCAGCAACAACAACAUCAGCUUGGUCAGCCGUAUCAGCAGCACCAAGUAGCUGGAGGCGGUGCGAAGAAGAGCAGGAGGGGGCCUAGGUCGAGAAGUUCUCAGUAUAGGGGUGUCACGUUUUAUCGGAGGACUGGCAGAUGGGAAUCCCAUAUCUGGUAUCUGUUCUAUGCUACACUUUGCAGUUUACAGGAAGAAAAAAACCCAUCCCCCCAACCAUACCGUGUCAAUGGCUUCUUGGGACUUUGUUGUUUGUGUUACAGAUGUAUUCAUAUUUUGCGAAAAUCAAGCUGUUUGUGGGAAUUUAUUUUCUACAUAAACUACUGCUCCAUAUGGUAUCGUUUAUUGUGCCGACUUCUUUUCUUUUAUGUGUGUGAUUGUCUUAAACUUUAAUUACGUGAUCUUUCUUUUCUUGUUUUUCUUUUCUUUUGCUUAUUUACCCUUCAUGCAUUUAGGGGUAGAAUCGGAAUGGUAGUGAGAAGAGGGGUUUUCUUCCCCCUUGCUUUUGGGGAGCGGGGGUUUUGGGAAUGAUAAUCGAGCUUUCAAUUUCAUAAUUAUGGAAGAGUGUUUUGACAGCUACAUCUCAGUUAUAAAUUGUGUGCAAGGAUUCUUUGCUGUCGAUUUGUUUCUUGGUAAAUUCGUGAAUGACUAGGGUAACGUCUAAACUGCUUCUUCUCUAUCGUCUCUUUUUUAUUUUGAAUUUUGUGGGACUCUAAAUCGAUUAAUUUUGAUGACAGUAUGGGAUAGUUCUCUGAUAGUAUUCAUAGGACUAGUAUGCAUUUCUUUGUCUUAAACAUUUGGGCCUCCUACUCCUCCUUGAUUGUAAUUGUAUCUUUUGUUUGUGGCAUUAUGAACAGGGAUUGCGGGAAACAAGUGUAUUUAGGUAAGCGGCUUAAGAUACUGAUUUACGACUCAUGUAAGUCUUUUCAUUAUUUUGCGAUUUUAAUUUGUAGUGCAUUUGCUUUUUCAGGAGGAUUUGAUACAGCUCAUACUGCAGCUAGGUAAUCAUCUUUUUUAGGGAAAAGAAUAACCAAUAAAAGAAAAAUGUUUCUAGUACUUUCAAGUUGAUCUUGCUACGAAAAGCUCAUUUUACAAGUUUUCGCUCCCUACUUUCCUAGCUGAUUUUAACAAUUAUUGUUCAGAGCGUAUGAUCGAGCAGCAAUCAAGUUUCGAGGUGUUGAUGCUGACAUUAAUUUUCAUAUCAGCGAUUAUGCAGACGAUUUGAAACAGGUUCACUUCUGCUGAUAAAUUUCUAGCAUCAGUAAGGUCAGAUAAUGCAAAUAAUGCAACAUGCGUUCCAUGUUAACCUUCAUUAAGUUGAUGUACAGAUGCAAAACUUGGCAAAGGAAGAAUUUGUUCAUAUUCUUCGUCGUCAAAGCACUGGAUUCUCGCGCGGGAGCUCAAAGUAUAGAGGAGUUACCCUACACAAAUGUGGUCGCUGGGAGGCUCGGAUGGGCCAGUUUCUUGGUAAAAAGUACGUGUCCAGUAACACUACAAAUUCUAAGCUGCUUUUGGUUGGCCACAUGUAAAUAUAGAAGCAGUAGUCUCAUCCUUUGUACAUGAAAUUACCAAACCUGUAAAAAUGUUAAUUUCCCAACGAUUGUUAUGCACACUAUUUUGCAUGGAUAUUACUUUAGAUGGUUUCGAAAAUAAUGCUUGAGGGCCCAUUCUUCAUCAUAUGAGAUAACAACGGUUGGCUGCAGGUAUAUAUAUCUUGGGUUAUUCGACAGCGAAGUAGAAGCUGCAAGGUCCUUAACCAUAAAUCAAACUCCUUGAGACUGAUUUUCUCACUCUGAAAUGAAAAAUAUAGUUUUUAUUGGGCUUCAUCCAACAAUAUUUCCAUUUUGUAUUUUUCCAGGGCAUAUGACAAAGCAGCUAUCAAAUGCAAUGGAAGGGAAGCAGUCACGAACUUUGAGCCUAGUGCCUAUGAGGGGGAGAUCAGUGGAGCUGCCAAAGAUGGAGGUAUGCUGAUCGUAUACGUAUUUUGCUUUCUCUUCAUUCAACCCUUUCAUCACAUGAUUGAAAGGAGCAGGCUAUUGACGUGGUACGGUUUCUGUUCUUGACCCACAGAUGCAGGUAGAGGUGACAAUCUUGAUCUCAACCUGUGGAUUUCUCCAGCUUCAGAUGGGCAGAAGGAAAUUGGUGAUUCAAAAAGUUCCUGUGCCCAUUAUGCAGCUUCUGAUGACAAAAUGAUAAAGGUAUCUCUUCAUUGAAGUGAUUAGCAAUUGAAGUUCUUUUCUUUGUUGUUUAUACUUUAAUCUUAAGAUUUAUCCAGAAGAAAAGAUGAACUGCUUCCAAGCUUUUGGUAGUCUUACAAUCGUUGUAAGAGCCAUGAAAUCUUUUUCUACUGUUUUAGGAACUUCGAGAAAUUCUGGUACUCAGAUUAUCUUCUCCUAUUCCUUGGCCUCCUUAAAAAAUACUUCGACAGGUGGAGAACUCCUUCAAUACUCCUGAAUAUCUACCAAUGGCAUCGCAAGAUUCUUCAGUUUGGACCCACACAUAUUCUGGUUUUGGUCCAAAGAAUGAGGUAAUUCUUUACUAACAUGAUGUCCGUGAACAGUUUUUCAUUAUACCAUAUAGGAGCUAUUUCUAACUUUCAAACUUCAGAAAAUUUAAUCUCUUAUAUAUAUAUAAAGUUGAAAAGUAAAUUUUGUGUUGUUUUACCAAUCAGUUCAAAUGCAUCUUCAAUUGUUAUUUUAUUGAACUACUUUCAGAAGAGUGAAUGGUCCUCAUGCUUCUCCAUUUUUCUUGAAGUAAAGGCUUGACUUUAGACGAUUCUUUUUCUUUCAACUUUUUAUGAUUCUGGGUUGUGGUCAAGAUGAAAACAAAACAAAGAGAUAAAUCUGGUUUAUCUUCAUAAACGUGAUGUUAAGACAUGAAAAUCCAUUUGACAGGAAAGAGCAAGGAAAAUGAGGCCUGAAGGCAUUCCGAUACCAGGAUUAUCAAACUGGCCAUGGAAAAUGCAUUGCCAUGGUGUGAUCACCUCGGUGCCUUUGUUUCCUUCUGCAGCAUCAUCAGGAUUCUCCACAGUGACUGCCACUUCAACCACGCUUGUGUCAACGAAUGCCCCAAAUAAGAUUGUCCACACCUCUGCCUUCCAGCACCCUCCUUUGACCCUUAAUUACAAUUAGCAAGCAUCAUCAUGAAGUACAACCUCUUUGAACAACGUUUGUUGGGGCUUGGAAUUCAGCUGGCAAAGGAAUCCACUCUGUUCAGUGCGGGGUUUCAUUUCUUCUAUGAUUCAUGCAUAUAUGAUAGAAACAAAGAUAUUUUGAACAUAUACAAUGGGGUAUAGGUUAGUGCAAAAUUGUGUAGAAUUGCUGCCAUGAGAAUUGUUGUAUAGCCAUUCACACUGUUUGGAACGUGGAAGUGCUCCACUGACUGCAAAGAAGCACGGCUUCUCUUGAGCAAAGAACUCAAGCUGGUUCAGUCCUGCUUGACCUAUACAAUGUUACCUAUACUACAAAUGGAAACUUGAGGUAUGCCAAAGCUCAUACUUCUAACUGGUGGUUUAAAGUCACUCUUUUAACUGCAAAAUGAAACUCGUGGUUUUUGCUCAGCCUGGUUUUGCACGGUGUUGUUUUACCGUUGCUCUAGAGAGUUUUCUUGAAUUUGUUGUGGUGAAGAUUCAUCAUGGAGUAUACGAAGAAAUAGCAACCGACACAGAUCCUCCAGAACUCAGGAAUUUGAGGGAUGGGGCUACUUUAAACUUCCAUCAGCUAUUAAACACUUCAGCAUCCAAUUCUUUUGCAUCCAAACAGAAAGAAUGCCAAAUAACAGAAGCUCCGUAUUACAUCAAGGUCCUAAAUCAAUUGUGCACCAAUGAAUUGCUGUGGAAUGUGUGGGAAAUUUCAUCAUCAAAAAAAUCAGUCGUUAAUUGCUUCCGGCGCCUUCAACAAUAUUUGAAAGAAAUAAAAAAAAAAAAAGAUAAACGCUGCUGCAGAUAAGAGAUUGGGCAGUUCUAAGUGCAAUUGCAAGCCCCACUCCAAUGCUUCACGCAUUUUUUUUUCCCAGAGUAAUCCUUCAGCAGUUUUGCUGUGCUCAAGCAGGCUACUGAGAGCUUGUCUACCCCCAAUGCAAUAAGGAACCUUUAGGCUUUAUUUGAUUAGUAGUAGGAAAGUUGCGCAGGAAGCGAAGUAUAUAUAUAUAUAUAAAGAGAAAAUCACUUUCUUGUGUAUAUAUGUUUGUUUGAUAGGAGAAAUUUUGAUAGAAAAUGGAUGGUUAGCGGCACUAUAUUGUAAAUAAUCAACAAUUUUCCUCCAAAAUCCUGCAGAUUUUGCAGGACAAUAAAUGCAGAAGAGUGAAGAAACAUUGCCUAACUUUCCUUGUAUUAAAAACAAAAAAAAAAAGAGUAACUUUCUUUCACUUUUCCAUCCUGUUCACUGCAAACAAACACAAACUUAGGCUUUCAGCAUGAUUGAUUAUCUUUAAUGUACAGAAACCAUGAUCCAUUGGGGUGUUUUAUGAUAAACAGGUAGGACCUAAAAUUUGGGUUAACUGUUUGCAAUUGUAAUCAUGGUAGUAAAAAAUCAUAUUUUAAGGGCUUGUCUAUCAAUGGAGAGCAAAGAAUGGCCACUGACUACAGUGACCUUUCUCCUUUUCUCCAUGGCAUUGGCACAUGCUUAGAUUAUAUUCUCAUUCCGCCCGUCCCCUUCUAAGGUCCAACCAAGAUCAAUGUAUUGAAAAACAAUAUGCUUGUGUCAUAUGCAUUUAAAAGAAAAGUAAUGAACUGUCUCCCCCUUUUUGUGUGUGAAACAAUGAUCAGUAGCUGCAUUUGGACGGAGGGAUUUGACAAAGAAUUUGAAAACCUCUCAAAUCUUUUUUAUUGUUUACAUUAUUUAAGAGGCACUCAGAUUCAUAAAUCGACAAUUAUUCUAGUAUUUUUAAAAUAUAUUUAGAUAAUUGAUGAAUUAUAAAACUAAAUGUACUUUUACUGAUCCAAACAACUAAAGCAAUUUUGGUAAAUUUCAAAUCUCUCAUUUUCAUCCUAGGGAGUAAUAUAUCAUAUGUUUAGGAAGUACAGAAAGAUGAAAUGACAUGGGAAUUAAUCACACGCAGACCAGUCUGAUAAAGAAAAUGUAGUGUCACAGCAGCCUUAUACUGAAGGCAAAGCCUCCAAUUUAAUUAUGUUGAGAUCAGGCAGUUGCUUCUUAUUAGGCGUAGUAGAGCUUGUUACAUGAUCUUGCAACAUGCAUAUGCCUUGAGGAUGAAGAGCAUGGCUCAUCCCAAUUCCAUGUGAUUUCAAGGGAUCCGAAGAGCUCAGCACUGAGAUUAAAACAAGCGGACAAAGAUUAAAACAAUUCAUUCUGAUAACUUCUAACAAAGAAAGACUGAUCAUUUGGCAGUAGAAUUUACCGCGAUACGCUUUUUUAACGCUGCUAAAAACUCCUUUGGAUCAGCUUUUGUCACUUUAUAAGCCUCAAUCUUAUCAAUUUCCUGUUGCAGAAGCAAGUUAAAUAGGUAAUAACCAACUAAACUGCUUCCAGUCCCAACAACAAAAAAAAAUGCAAUGAACCCUUGAAGAUGUACUCUUCUCCUAACCAAGGGAUUGUACAGAAUUUCACUUUCAGAUCAAGGAUAUCAUAUCAGCAUGAAAUUCAAAAGCAACUAUGUGUAUGAAUGCAAGUGGAAGAUUCCUAUCUCCAAGCAUGCCCCAAUUUCUUUAUGGUAUAGUCAUUUCAAUUCAUGCCUACUUGGAGGAUCAUUAACAUACUUAACUACAAACAGGAGCUGCAUGUAAAUAAUGCUUCCAGUUUAUUCCUGAUAAUUUUGUACAUAAUUUUGCAUGGGGAAAGUCUAAGAAAUUCUGUGAUUACCUCAAUCCAAGCUGCCAGUUUUGGCCUGCCCUCUGUAACAUCGUACUUCUUCACAUCCGACGCGAAGAGUUGGAACCUUUCAACAAAGGGCGCAUAAGCUACAUCCACCUGAAUUUGCGCAGAGAAAAAGAUGAAUCAACCUAUGCUUCUUCAAGAUAACAUAAAUACAACUUCAUAUCCCUAUCAUAAUGCUUGACGGAAGAACUUCAUUAACAAGGUAUAUGUGAACAAAUAGAAGUUCCCAAUUUUGCUCUUACAAGACUGAAAGUUCCGAGGAAGAAGGGACCAUCAUCGAAUUUGCCAAGGGCAUUCUCGAGGUAAUCAAAAGCAGCACCUGAUCAAAUAAUGCACUUUAGCAUCAAAGUUUACAGGAAUUAGCAGCCAAAAUACAUGAUCACUCAACUUACCAACUUCACCGAUUCCAUCUGCUCUGAAAGAAGAAAAUCCAGCUCCAUUAAAGGAGUCGGAGUAGGACAACAAAUGUUCUGCAAACUCUCUCUUAGCGGGGUCCUACAUAUUUGGUCAGAGAACUCAAAAUACAACCCACUGCAGAAUGCAGACUAAGAGCAGCCAACUUAGCUCACCAAAAUUUAACUAGAAAAUUGUUAUGAAUCUUACGUUAGGAAGAAGUGAAGGACCUUCAAAGUUUUCAUCGAGAUAUUUGAUUAGAUCAAGAGACUCUCCUUUGACUUCAUUAUUAUGUACCAGAGCUGGCACCUGCUUGAUAAUGGAGCAUAAGAAAAACCCCAUGUGAUUGAUACAAAGUAAACUACAUGUAAUAAUUGGCUGCUGAAAUGAGAAAUGAAACUUUCAUCUCAAUUUCAAAUAUUAGGUACAGUUGGUUAUCAAGAAAUCUAUACAUAUCAGUCCACAGGAAUUAUUUAUAAACCAAUUGAAAUUUCCAGGCUGACGCAAGCAGCCAUGGCUCCUCAAACAGUACAAAAGUUUCUGGCUGGUUUUUGUGAACAUUUAGCAUGAGUCUGAUAUUGCCGCAGAACAAUUAGCAUCAGAGAUCUCACACAACAUGGUGAAAUUAAAUAAUACCCAACCUUGUUUGCUGGGUAAACUUUCUCCUUGUACCAGGCUGGCCUAUUCUCUAGGUCCAUAGCGAUCAAUUUUAUUUUAUCUUGCAAUCCCUGCAAACGCAAAUCAGAAAUUCACAAAUCUGAUUAUUAGAUCAAGCAGAAUCACCAAGGUCCACAAGAAGUCCCCAACAAACCUUAUAAUUCCUUGUGAUCCACACACGUUGUGCAUACGGGCAUAUGUAGGCUGUGAACAACCUAAUAUCAAGAAAUGAAAUAUCGUAGUGUCAAAAUAUUAUCAUACUCAAACGAACAAUAGUCACUGUAAGAUUUCCAUGUUGUGAUCCAAAAAUUUUGGAAAUGACCAAAAAUUUCGGUUUCUUCCAGUUCGAUGCACAUAUUGUUGAGAUUUUAUCCAUGUCCCUCGUUGAUUCUCAGUUCAUGUGUAGGCAGGUUAAUAACUUUUUGAUCUAAAUCACUGGGCCAAAAUGCUUAAUCCAACUUUACUAAUAUCCUUGAUCAAUCCGAUGUAAGAUGCAGGCCACUUGCAUUAAAAUGAACCAAACUGAGACAAAGUCAAUAAAACAAGAAAAAGCGGUGCCAUUGAUGAUUCUCUUGGGAUUAAGCACUCACUUGGUGGUUCCGUCAAAGAUGUCAGGAGGUGGUUCUGAGGAAGAAUCAAGCGAAGGUGGAAGCACCUCUUUGACACUACGAAAACAAAACAUACCCAAAUCAGUAACAAGAUCCAAAAUUAAACACACCGAAGCAUUCAAGAUAAAGAAGAAACAGUGAACAAACAAAAGUUGGGAUUUAAUUACCCAGAAGCCAUUGCUGAAGCUGACAGCGAAGAUAUUCCGAAAACUUUUUAUCUUGCAAAGGAAGAAUUGGAUGGUGGUAGCAGUAGCAGUAGUACAAGGAUUCUUAUAUUGCCAUGAUGAUUGCUUAAUUUCAAAGUGGCCACAUAACAUUCAUAUUUUUCACGUGUGUUUGCAUCCCAAAAUCGUGCUUUGACUACUUGAAAUGCGGACUGUGUUGCAAAUCUUCGGAUCUGAACAACUGAUAGCCAUCCAUUAAGUGAUAGACCAUCUGGUCUUGGGGUUCAUCCGGAACUCCAAGUCUAGUGGUCGAAUCCCACUUAACUCCGGGUGCGUUUGGGGUGGCGGUGUACUUGGGUGCAAAGGAUUAGUCGGGCCGCCUUCGGGUCUUGACCCGAACACCCCUGUAUUGACAAAAAAAAAAGAUAGCCAUCCAUUAAGAAUUUAAGAUGUAGGUCAGGUAUUAAAUUUUUUAAAAGAAAAAAAAUUAAUUAAGAAAAGUAUAUAUAGAUAUAAAAUAAAACAAUAAUAAUUAGUGUGUGCAUUCAAUAAUUAAAGACCCUACUUUCUCUUCAUUAAAGAAAAAGGCCAACUCCUGUAUGUAGGUUGGUAAGGUUGGUAUCUCUUUUUUCUUUUUUUUUUUUGACAAAUUAUUGGCUAAAAUACUUUUUAAAAAAUUCUCAAAUUUUGGUACUAUUUUGGGAUUUUUUUAGUGUUACUUAUUGAAAUUUUUUUUGCACAAAAAUUAAUUAUUUUUUUUAACCGACUCAAAAAGCAUGCAUGUAAUUUUUUUCAUGUAGUGGUACGCAAAAAUCGUGAAGUCAAAGGAGAUUGGUAACAUAUUACAAAGUUGCUAGCUGAAAAAUAAACUCUUGAAUAGUAGAUGGACACAAGAACAAAGAACACAUUGGAGAGACCUUGGAUACAUACAUUUUUUUUUUGUUUGCUUUAAUUUCCUUAGCUACACAUACAUUUAUGUGUGUGUACGUACAUAUCUACAUAAUCUCAAGUCCCAAAAAAAAAAAAAAAAAAAAAAGGAAAACACCUUCUUGUACAUUUCCCGACGUUAGGAUAAUGAUAAUUUUGUCUAAAGUUCUAAUACGUAGAAAUAUAAUAGAGGCAAUUUCGAAACAUUUGUAAUUUGUAACAAUCAAACAUAAAUUUUGACCAAUGAGGGGGUAAGGUGCUCAAAAUUAAACAUUAGAGGGUAAAGUAGUUUUGAGAGCAAGCAUUAAGAGCAUUUACUGCCAUAGUUUUUACAAGAAAUCUAUUUCCAGGAUUGCUAUCCAUGCAACCAAAGUGAGAACUAAGUGAUUAUUUGGAGGAGGGAUGAAUUGGGUGAUUUUGAGGAAUGGAGUGUAAGUUUCGGGUUUCGGGUUUCGAGACCUUCUACUUAUGCUAAAAAAAAAAGUGAUUUAUUAUAUUAUCAUUUGUGUUUCCAUCAGUAACAAUCGCAAAUUUGGCUGGCAUAGGAAUCGAAUCCGCAGACAGGUCUUGCCUGAUGACUUGGUCUCCAAGAAGAAUUUUAACAAUUUGCAAAUUUAAUUCAGUUGGUGAUUCUUGCUGUUUGAGGUAUCUUGAGAAAAGAAUUCAACAGCUGUUAAGUGCUGCUGCUACGUGUAAGCAUCAUGCUCCCAAACUCAAAGCAUCUAUUGCCAAACCCAAACCCAAACCCAUUUUUAUGUAGUAGAUCCGAAUUCGAUCCGUAUGUCCGACGGGUCUUGACCUUUGAGUCUCGGAACUAGGUCCAGGUUUACCAGAAAAGAAAAAGUUCAAAGUUAAACAUUUUAAAAUUAAAUCCAAAACCAAUCAUAAAUCCAAUAAAUCAAUUUACAAAGUCAUUACUAAAUUAUUAAUUUGGUAAAAGAAUGUAUGUAGAAAUAUUUAUAUUUUAUAAUUACUAAUAUAUUGUUCGGGUCCGGAUCGAAUAUUGGUCGGAAUCUUAUAUUCUGUAUCCGACCCCUUCUUUUUGUUAGAGUAAACAGGUCUGAGUCCGGGUAUCGGAAUUAUAUUUUUCAGCCCAAACCCGAAAAAAUUUAUCUGACCCGAGUCGGGUCUAGGUCCAAACCCGACCCAUUGACACGGUAAUGCUUCCAUUUGCCAUUACAUUGACGGACUUAAUAGUACUUCAAAACCUUAUUCAUGUUUCUUGCCAAGGACUAAUAUAUCAUGCUACGGUCAAAUGCACAAGAAGAUAAAAGGACACAGUAAAUUCUCUACAGACCAGCCGGAUAACGAAAAUACAGGUGUUACAACCUUAAACUGAAUACAAAAAGUAUAGAUGUUAAAUAUAACAAUAAUAUGUCUAUUGACUUGAGACAGUUACUCUUGUGACAGGCGCUUGAGAUGUGAUCCAGCAACAUGCUUAUGCCUUGAUGAUGAAGAGUGUAAUUAUCCCAAUUCCAUGCGAGAUCAAGGGAUCCGAAGAGCUCAGAACAGAGCCUAGAUACGAUUAUAAAGGUCAAAGAAAUUCAUCCUGAGGAACUUCUAGCAAAGGUUGAAUCUGUAACAAAACAGAAAUCAUUUGCUAGCAGAAUUUACCUUAAAACGUCUUUUCAGAGUUGCUAAAAGCUUGUCAGGAUCAAACUUUGUCGCUGUAUAAGCCUUAAUCUUAUUAACUUCCUGUAAGAGUGAAACGAGUAGGUAACAAACAACUCAAGUGCUUCCAGUCCCAAGGAAAAUGCAAUGAGCUCUAAAGUAUGUACUCCUCUCUUAACCAAAGUGAUGUGUCAACAAUAGUGCAAAAUAUCACAUUCAGAUCAUGGAUGCCAUGAUCGGUAUGGAAUUCAAAAAAAAAAUGAUACGUAUGAAGAUUAUUCUGUCCAAUAUGCCGAACUGUUUUGUGAGACCAAGUCAUUUCACUACAUGCUUGGAGGAUCAUUAAGAAUUGAAGGACUUAGAUGACAAAUUAAGAUCUGCACUUGAACAAUGCUUCCAGUUUCUCCCUUAAAAUUUUUCUAAAUGAUUUUUGUAAGGGAGACUGCUAGUAGAUUCUUUGAGUACCUCAAUCCAUGCUGCUAGUUUUGGCCUGCCCUCUGUAAUAUCAUACUUCUUGAAAUCCAAUAGGAAUGGUUGGAACAUUUCAAUGUGUGGAGCAAAAACCAUAUCCACCUGAGUUCUUCAGGAUAUGAAUCCAACUUAUAGCGAAUCCAAACAUCAUUCUGAUUUCUUUUUUCAUAUCCCUUUCCGAAUGCUUGAAAGAAGGACUUCAUUCAAACACGAUCUACGUGAAAUUAAAAAAACUAUAGGGGUCCAUUGCACUUACCAGACUGAAUUGUCCAAGGAAAAAGGGACCAUCAUCAAAUUUGCCAAGGGCAUCCUCAAGGUAAUCAAAAGCAGCACCUGAUCAAAUCACCUACUUGAGUAUCAAAUAUGACAGGAACUAGUAGCCAAAAAGCCAUGAGCAUUCAACUUACCAGUUUUACCUGCUCCAUUUGCCAUGAAAGAAGAAAUUACACCUCCAUAGAAAGAGUUGGAGUAGGAAAGCAACUUUUCAGCGAACGCUUUCCUGGCAGGAUCCUGUAUAUUUAGUUAAGAGGACUUGGAACACAAGCUAUCGAAAAAUGCAGAUAAAAAGCCGCAAAUUUGCUCACUGAAAUUUAACAGAAAGAUGUUACUGUUAACAGGUAUCUUGGGAGGAAAACAUCUAGUCACAUAUUAUGAGUGACCAACUAGUAUUUAUAGGAGUACAAACCUAACCGACUAUUUACAAGAAUACCCUUACUAAUUUAUUAUCUAUAAGAAUACUAAUAUUCUCCUAACACUCCCCCUCAAGUUGGAGCAUAUAUAUCAUAAGCACCCAACUUGUUACAAAUGUAUUUCACCCUAGAGCCCCCUAAACUCUUGGUAAAUACAUCAGCCAAUUGAUCUACAGACGGUACAUGAGAUGUCUUGAUGACCCCGUCAAGCAAUUUCUCUCGAAUGAAAUGACAAUCAACUUCAAUAUGUUUUGUCCUUUCAUGAAACACUGGAUUAGACGCAAUAUGAACAGCCGCCUGAUUAUCACACACUAAAUUCAUAGGCUGUUUAUGCUCAAACCCAAGUUCCAGUAACAUGCUCUUCACCCAAACCAACUCACACACAGUGUGAGCCAUAGCGCGGUAUUCAGAUUCUGCACUUGAUCUGGAUACAACUGUUUGCUUCUUACUCUUCCACGACACUAAAUUACCACCAACAAACACACAAUAUCCUGUAGUCGAUCUUCUAUCUGAGGCAGAACCAGCCCAAUCUGCAUCACUAUAUCCUUCAAUAUCAGUGUGUCCAUGAUUUUGAUACAGCAACCCUUUUCCAGGAGCACUCUUAAGAUACCUGAGAAUCCGUAUAACAGCAUCCCAAUGACUAGUACGAGGGGUAUCAAGAAAUUGACUCACAACACUCACUGCAAACGAAAUCUCAGGUCUCGUUACAGUGAGAUAAUUUAAUUUACCCACAAGUCUUCGAUAUUGCUUAGGAUCAUCAAGUAAUGCACCUAGAUCUCCUGCUAAUUUCACAUUGGGAUCCAUAGGAGUAUCCACAGGUCGGCAACCUAACAUCCCAACUUCACUCAACAUAUCGAGUACAUAUUUUCUUUGACAUAAAUAAACCCCAUAUUUAGACCGAGCUACCUCAAUACCCAGAAAAUACUGUAGAUGACCUAAAUCCUUUGUCUGAAAGUUUGCCUGCAGAUUGGAUUUAAGUUUCUGGAUCCCCACAACAUCAUCACCUGUAAUCACAAUGUCAUCCACAUAAACAACUAAUAAAAUUUUACCAGCAUUAGAAUGCCGAUAAAAUACAGAGUGAUCUACUCCACAUCUUGUCAGACCGAACUCCAUGACAACACUACUAAACCGGCCAAACCAAGCCCUCGGAGACUGUUUCAAUCCAUAUAAGGAUUUUUUCAAACGACAAACCAACCGCGGAUUCUCCCCCUGAACAACAAAUCCAGGAGGUUGUUCCAUAUAUACCUCUUCUUUCAAAUCUCCAUGCAGAAAUGCAUUUUUCACAUCCAACUGAUGCAAUGGCCAAUUAUAAGUGGCUGCCAAAGAGAUAAGAAGACGAACAGAGGUAAUCUUUGCAACAGGAGAAAAAGUUUCUAAGUAAUCUACUCCAUACACCUGAGUAAAUCCUCUAGCUACCAGCCGAGCCUUCAAUCUAUCAAUAGAACCAUUAGGCUGCACUUUUAUAGUGUACACCCAUUUACAACCAACAACAGGCUUACCUGAAGGACGAGGGACAAGAUCCCAAGUACCAUUUUGUUCCAAAGCAGACAUCUCUUCUUGCAUAGCUAAUCUCCAACCAGGAUGAUUAAGAGCAUAGGUAAUAGACUUAGGAAUGGAGAUAGAAUCAAGAGAAGCAACAAAAGAAGAAUAUGACAUAGAGAGACGAGAAUAAGAAACAAAAUUAGAAAUAGGAUGGGAAGUACAAUGUCUCUUACCUUUGCGUAAAGCAAUAGGAAGAUCUAACUCAGAGGAGGGCGUCAUACCUGGAUUUGAAGAUUGAGAGUUAAUUGGUGAAGUGCGUGGCAUAUCAGGAACUUUCUCAACCAUGGAACGACGAGAGUAAACUUGAAGAUGAGGACGAGAUAAUCGAGCUAUGGAAUCUGGUGGACUAGACAACUCAGGUAAUAAAGGGGAAGGGAUUGGUAAAACAGGAGAGGAAAAAGAGGGACACUGGUCUAAUUCACAAGACAUACUUUGCUUGAUAAAAUACGGAGUGGAUUCAAAGAAAGUAACAUCAGCACAAGUAAAAAAUCGAUUUAAAACUGGACUGUAACAUCUAUACCCUUUUUGCGCUCGUGCAUAUCCUAAGAAAAUACACUUAAUAGCACGAGAAUCUAAUUUAUCCAUCCCUGGAGCAAGCUGAUGAACAAAGCACACACAUCCAAAAAUACGAGGAGGCAAUUUAAACACAGGUUCAUGAGGAAAAAGAAUGGAGUAAGGUAAUUGACCUCCAAGAAUAUUAGAUGGCAUGCGAUUAAUUAAAUAACAUGCAGUUAGAACUGCAUCACUCCAAAAUUGUUUGGGCACAUUCAUGUGCAACAACAGUGUUCGAGCAAUUUCGAUUAAAUGCCCAAUUUUUCUUUCAGCAACUCCAUUCUGUUGUGGAGUGUGAGGACAAGAGGACUGAUGAAUAAUACCAGACUUAGUCAUAAAGGUAUUAAAAGGAGUGGAAAAAUAUUCUUUCGCAUUAUCACUGCGAAGUAUACGUACAGGCACACCAAAUUGAUUCUUUAUUUCUGUAACAAAUGCACAAAAAAUGGAAUAUAAUUCUGAACGAUCUUUCAUUAAAUAAAGCCAUGUAACUCUGGAAAAAUCAUCAACAAAGACUACAAAAUAUUUAAAACCUAACUUUGAAGUGACUCGACUAGGACCCCAAACAUCAGAAUGAACUAACAAAAAAGGUUCAGAAACCCGUUUAUUGACUCUAGGAGCAAAAGAAACACGAUGAUGCUUUCCUAACUGACAAGACUCACAUUCUAACGAAGAUAAUUGAUUCAAAGUAGGAACCAACUUUUUCAAAUUUUGUAAAGACGGAUGACCUAAACGACAGUGAAUUUCAAGAGGAGAAACAGUAGCAGGACAUGCUAUCGGACCAUUGAAGUUGAGAAAAUAAAGACCAUUAUGCUCAUGCCCUCCACCAAUCGUCCUCUUUGUCUUCAAAUCCUGAAUGACAACAGAAUCAGGAGAAAAAGUAACUGUACACUGUAAAAAUUUAGUGAGCUUACUAACAGACAUUAGAUUAAAUGGCAAAUUGGGUACGUAAAGAACAGAAGACAGCGGAAGUGAUGGAUUAAUUUCUACAGUGUCUAGUCCUUUAACUUUAGUGGUAGAUCCAUCAGCUAAAGUAACAUGAAGAAAGGGAGUAGACUCUUGAAAAUUAGAAAAAAUUUUAGAGGUACCUGACAUAUGAUCAGUAGCCCCGGAGUCAAUAAUCCAUGAGUCAUUACCUUUUUGUGCUAAAGAAGCAGAGGGAAGAGAUGCGUGAUUUGUAGCUUGGUACUGUAAGAAUUUAACAUAAUCUUCCUCGGAUAUAGUAACAGUUUUCUGGGACCCAUGUGCUGAAGAACUUGAUUCAACUUGAUCAGUGGUAACCCCAUUAGCAAAACUUUCAACCAUAGCGAAUAGCACUUCAAACAAAACAGCAAUCAAAAUUCGCGAUGAACAGUGCGCCGUGAACAGUGCGUCGUGAAUAGUACCGCGUGAACAGUGCGCGAUGAACUGUACGCGCGAUGAUGAACAGUGCGAGUGAACAGUGCGCGAUGAACAGUAUCGCGUCAAGACUUUUGCUAGAUAUUUAACCCUAACCCUAGGACUUUUGCUCUGAUACCAUGUUAACAGGUAUCUUGGGAGGAAAACAUCUAGUCACAUAUUAUGAGUGACCAACUAGUAUUUAUAGGAGUACAAACCUAACCGACUAUUUACAAGAAUACCCUUACUAAUUUAUUAUCUAUAAGAAUACUAAUAUUCUCCUAACAGUUACCAAUCUUACAUCAGGAAGAACUGAAGGACCUUCAAAGUUUUCCUCGAAAUAGUUGAUUAUUUCAAUAGAGCCUCCUUUAACUUGAUUGUUGUCGGCACCUGCUUUGAUAAUAGAGCAUAAGAAGAGCUCCAAAGUAUAAAAUUAACUACGUGCAAUGAUUAGUAGCUGAAAAUAGACUAUAAUCUCAAAUUUGAGUAAUAGGUACAGUUUGUUAUCAAGAAAUUUGUCCAGAUCAGUAAAUAAGUUCCCGAAACAAGGAAAAAAAAAAGUUCAGGCCAGUUUUUGUGGAUAUUAACAUGAGAUUGAUAUUGUUGUGGAGUAUUAUUAGCAUAGCGCAAGUAAAUAUCUAACCCCGUUUGCUGGGUAAAGCUUCUGCUGGUACCAGGCUGGCCAACUCUCUAGGUCAAUAGCAAUCAGUUUUACCCUAUAUUGCAAUCCCUGCUCCAGAAAAGAAUAUAAAAUGCAAUUCAGGAAAUUCAGAAAGCUGAUAGAUUAGACCAAGCAGAAUUAUUAGGGUCAACAAGAACUCCUUGACAAACCUUGUAAUUCCUUGCGAUCCAUGCUGCUUUUGCAAACGGGCAUAGGUAAGCGACGAGCAACCCAAAAUCAAGAAACGAUACAUUUUUGAGUAUCAAAAUAUUAAGCUUGAAUGGACAAUAGUUAAUGAAGAUUUUCGUGUUGUGAUUUCUGAACCGUAAAUAUUCCAACCAACCAAAUUAUCCAUUUCUUUCAGUCCCGGUGGCAUAAUGUUAAACUUGUAAAACUUGUUUUUCUCAUAUGAAAUAGUAUGACUUAAAGCCAACACGACCUUGUAAAAUGAGCCACAGUCGGCAUCUCAAUGCAAAAUUCUUGAUCCGCAUCUCAAGCUCAACUAGGACCAUAGAUGCCUUGAUUUCCAAUUCCAAGCAUAUAUAAUAGCAUAUCCGAGAUGAGAAGUGUCACCGUGUCCCACACCCAAACAAAAGUAUUGAUCUACUAUUGGACCGUUGUCCCGUUUACCUUAAAAAUCAAGUUAUUCCCUCUAACCCUCAAGCAUUAGAGUCGGUAUCAAACCAUCAAAGCGAGGGCCAAUGUUGUUGGGAUGUAUCUAGACAAGGAACUGCACGAACUGAAUGAUUUGCAGAGCUAAGUGGCUUAAACACUACAGCCAUGUAAAGGCCUCCUAGAAUCUCCAGCUCGAGUUACAUAAAUAACGAGACAAGUCCGGAUCACGGGCCUAGCUUCGUGAGGGUGCAAAGUCCCAAAAGGGUGGUCAAUCUCUCCACCCCCGGGUCCUAAAGAUGCAGGGCCAUUGCAAGGAAAACGCUGAAAAGAACCAAAUUGAAAGAAAGUAAAUCCCAACGAAUAAAAGCUGGUGAUAUUGGUUCUACGUUUGAUUAAGAACUUUCUUGGAGGUUCUAUCAAAGAUGUCAGCAGGUGGUUUUGAGGAAGAAGUAACUAGUAAGAGCAGGUGGAGGCACCUCUUUCACACUUUGAAGACAAAACGUGUCAGAAUCUGUAACAAAUCCAAAAUCGACAACAGCAGAGUAUCCAACAUAAAGAAGAAACAUGGAACAGGCAAAGUAUCGAUUUAAGUACCCAGAAGCCAUUGCUGAAGCUGAUUGUGAAGAAACUCUGAAAACUUUGUUUAGACAGUGAAGAUUUGGACGGUAUAGGAAUGGGAUUCUGGACAUGGUAUAAAUAGAAAACAGCAGAUGAAAGUUCGAGGCGUUGAAUCAGGAGGGAAUGAAGUUAUUCGAAUACAAAUAUUACGUGUGCACUGAUAAUUGAUGUUGGAAACUUUUCAAAAUUUGUGUGACGUACAUACAUGUAAUUUUAAUGUAUAUUCAUUCAUGUUUUGAUACAUGUAUAGUAUUGUGAAUGUUUCUAAAAUGUACAUUUAUCUAUGAAUGUGUUCAUGUAUAUGGGAAUCCUUGAAUGAAAGGAUAGAUUCAUGAUUUAAUCUUAAGAUCAUGAGAUGCAUGAAUUAAAGUACAUGAAUUUGUACACAAUACUUUGAAUCUAUUCAUACAAGUAUUUAAUGAGUUCCUUUGUUUCUUAAACAAUCUUCCUAUAUAAAGAGGUCAAGUAGAGAGUGGUUUGCUGCAGAAAAUCACUUUCCUACUAUUGUAUACUCUCUCAAAAGCACUCCUUAGUUCAAAAGGGUUUGUAUUGCACAAAGAGUGUAAGACAAACAAACUUCAUCUUAUCCUAAAGGAUAUUUAUCCAAUGUUUUUGCACGUUAUACUGGACAAAUAAAGCCUAAAGAAAAGUGAUUUUCGAUCACGAUUUGAAGCCAAUUCUUGUCACAACAUUUGCCAGUUCGUUGCAAUUAUUCCCAACAAUUGAUAACGUCCAAGUUGGCCAUAUUAUUAUUCAUGACAAGGGCAGCUAUUCAAAAGCUAGCAGGCUCUUUUACUUUUAUCCAACACAAGCUGGGAUAGGUGAUAAGUCCAAUUUAGCACCUGAAAUCUAUGGAAGUAUCUAAAUUGAGCCCCAUUCAUGAAUCUAAAUUUUGUUAUAUUGAGCCCUCGUAACCAUUUCUUGUUAUAUAUUUUCAAUUUGCAGUACUUUAGAUGUCAAAAAUUGCUUCCUUUCUAUUGCUCUAUUUUAUGAAAUUGUCUUAGUUUGACUUUAGGUAUAAGGAGUGAAAUCUGAAAAUUAUACAACUCAAGAAAAAGAGCUAACUCUAUUUUCUAGAAGGCGCAUUUCGUAGUUCUUUUCUUUCUAGAAAGCACAUAAGAGGUCAAGAAAUUUGCCAUAAACUAACAUAUUGGGUCCAUUUUCAAAGUCAAGAUAUUUGCCAUAAAUAGCAUAUUGGGUCCGUUUUCAAAGUCGCGUAAUCGAACACUACAAAUUCAUAGACGUCUGCCUUCCAGUUCCAGCACCCUCAUGACUUUUUAGUUACAACAAUGAGCAAAGCAUCAUCAAAUUUGAGGUUCGGAAACUUGUGGGUUUUGGGGUGGUGGACUUGGAAGUCAGCUGCCAAAGGAAGCAACUCAGCUCAGUUGCAGGGUUUUAUUUCUGUCAUUCAUGCAUGUACUAAUAGAAAGAUGACAUUUUUAAACGUAUACUUUGGUUACAGAUAUGUCUCGUACCGAGACAAACUGCGAUAGCAGUCUAAGAAGGCGGAGCUGCACCAUAUCAGGCGGGAUUGCAUUGCCUGGUUCUAAUUCUUCAGGCUUCUGGUGUUUCUUGUUCCUACUUCAAGAAAGUCCAGUUACAUAGGAUUUAACCUUCGAGCAUGAACCAUCCUCAACCUAAAAGGGAAAAAACAUUACCUGUUGGUUUUUUUUCAUGAUAACCGGUCUAGAUUUUUGGGCCAGUCGCUACCAAUUGUAAUCAAACUAGCAAAAACGUUACGAGUUGACAGGGAAAUUGAGUAGUGAUCAUUGCUUCGUCAGAAAAGGACGCAACAGUUUCUCUUUCAAGCGCUGCUCGUACAUGUAAACUCUUUACUGCUAAAGCACUAUUCCCAUUACAUCUUAUUAUUUCAUUUUUUGACUCGAAAAACUCGAAUCUUGAUCACAUUCCGGACAUAUGGUCUACUGGCAAUAGAUAGAAAUUGACACCUCCAAUUACUCACAAAAUUUUUGUGGCACUUCUAACAUUAGUAAGAAAUAAUUAUGAGGCUUUAGAAACAAGAAUAAGGAGAUGCUUCCAUUACAUUGAAGAUGUUGCAGUAGUUGAAAACCUUAUAAAAGUAUUGUCAAGGUGUAGCAUAGCUCAUCAUGGAAACACACAACGAUGAAAGAGCAUAAAAGUUGAAUGUAGACCAGUCUGAUGAGAAAAAGUAGUAUUACAACCUUAAACUGAAUGCAAGACAAAGUUGUAUUACAACCUUAAAAUGGAGGCAAAGCUGCCAACAGUACAGAAUGUAGAUGCAAUAACGUUUAUUGACAUCAAACACUUAGAAAGCAAAGCCGCAAAACAACACAGAAUGUAGACAUAAACAAAGUUUAUUUACAUCAGGCAGUUGCUCCUUGUUAGGCAUAACGCUUGAGAUAUGAUCCUGCAACAUGCAUAUGCCCUUGAAGAUGACGAGCGUGAUUAUCCCAAUUCCAAGUGAUUUCAAGGGAGCUCAGGCCUGAGGCCGGACACGACUACAAACAUUAGAACAAUGCAUCCCAAGAACUUCUAGCAAAUCUCAUGAAAGAGUAUAUCAUUUGGCAGUAGAAUUUACCGUGUCAAGACCGAAACGUCUUUUUAAGGCUGCUAAAAGCUCGUUUUGAUCAUAUUUUGUCGCUUUGUAAGCCUCGAUCUUGUUAACUUCCUGUAAAAGUAAAUGAAGUAGGUAGUAAUCAACUUAAGCGCUUCCAGUCCCAACAGACUGCAAUGAGCUCUGGAACAUGUACUCUUUUCUUAACCCAAGUGAUGCGUCGAAAGCAGUGCAGAUAUUAGAUUCAGAUCGAUGAUACCACAUCACUAUGGAAUUUAUGAAUAAAAGUGGCAGAUUACUGUGUCCAAAGAUGCCUCAAUUGCUCUAUCAGACCAAGUCAUUUCAAUUGGUGCCCACUUGGGAGGAUCAUUAAGAAUUGAAGGACUUGAUGACAAACGAUAUCUGCACUUAAAUGGCACUUCCAGUUUCUUUCUGACUAUUCUCUACAUGAUUUUGCAUGGGGAACUACUAGUAAGUUCUGUCAGUACCUCAAUCCAUGCUGCCAGUUUUGGCCUGCCCUCUGUAAUAUCAUACUUCUUCACGUCCAGCAGGAAGGGUUGGAACCUUUCAACAAAUGGAGCAUAAGCUACAUCCACCUGAGUUUGCAAAGGGAAAAGGAUGAAUCAACCUAUCAUUCUUCAAGAUAACAUGAGUACAACUGAUAGUGAAUCCAAAUACCAUUGUAAUUUCUUUUUUUUUUAAUAUCCCUUUCGUAAUGCUUGACAGAAGAACUUCAUUUAAACAAGGUAUAUGUGAACAAAUAGAACUCCCAACUUUUUGCACUUACCAGACUGAAAGUUUCAAGGAAAAAAGGACCAUCAUCGAAUUUGCCAAGGGCAUUCUCAAGGUAAUCAAAAGCAGAACCUAAUCAAAUCACACACUUCAGUAUCAACUUUUACAGGAAUUAGUAGCCAAAAGCCAUGAACACUCAACUUACCAACUUCACCAAUUCCAUCUGCUCUGAUAGAAGAAAAUACAGCUCCAUUAAAGGAGUCGGAGUAGGACAACAACUCUUCUGCAAACUCUCUCUUAGCAGGGUCCUACAUAUUUAGUCAGAGAACUCAAAUAAAAACACAAGCUAUCACAGAAUGCAGACUAAAAGCAGCCAACUUAGCUCACCGAAAUUUAACAGAUAAAUGUAAUGAAUCUUACCUCAGGAAGAAGUGAAGGACCUUCAAACUUUUCAUCCAGAUAUCUGAUUAGAUCGAGAGACUCUCCUUUUACUUCAUUAUUAUGUACCAGAGACGGCACCUGCUUGACAGUGGAGCAUUGGAAAAGCCCAACAGAGUACAAACUAAAUUCACAUGCAAUGCAAUAUGAUUUGCUGUUGAAAUUUGACUUUCAUCUCAACUUCAAAUCAUGCCUUGUACGUUUUGUUAUCAAGAAAUUUCUUGGUAUCAUAUUUCGUUGAUAUUAUUUGUCAACCAAUUAAGAUUUCCAGGCCUGACGCAAGCAGACAUAUGUUCUUCAAGCAGUAAAUAAUUCUUGCCGAGUUUUUCUGAACAUUUAGCAUGAUUUUGGUAUAGCUAUACUCUAUAGUUAGUAUCAAAGACCUCAUGCAGCAUAGCGCAAUUAAAUAUUCAACCUUGUUUGCUGGGUAAACUUUCUCCUUAUACCAGGCUGGCCUAUUAUCAAGGUCAACAGCAAUCACUUUUAUCUUAUCUUGCAAUCCCUGCUCCAUAAAAGAAUAUAAACACAAAUCAGGAAAUUCACAAAGGUGAUAGAUUAGAUCAAGCAGAAUCACCAGGGUCCAGAAGAACUCCCCAACAAACCUUGCAAUUCCUUGUGAUCCACACACGUUGUGCAAACGGGCAUACGUAAGCUAUGAACAACCUAAAAUCAAGACAUGAAACAUCUCUGAGUUUCAAAUUAUUACUGUAUAAUUCCAUGUUGUCAUCCGAAGAUAUUCAAAACAACCAAAUUUUUUGUUCUCUAGGUUCCGAUGUAGAAAACAUCGAGAUUUCAUCCACGUCCCAUAUUGAUUCUCAGUUCAAAGCUAUCAAAGUUGUUCAUCUCAAAUACAAUAUCACUGAAGGCCAAUACAGGCUUCUAACAGUAGUCAUGGUUAGCAACUCAAUUCUCAACCCAAAAUUCUUGGUUGGCCAUCUCAAAGUUAGAUCAGGACAUUAAAAACCUUGACAAACAUCUUUGAUCGAUCCGAUGUAAGACGCAGGCCAGUUACAACAUACAAGGUAAAAAAGAGAAAAGAACCAAACUCAAAUAAAGGAAUUCCCACCAAGUAAAGCUGGUGCUAUCGAUUCCACUGGCAUUAAAGAACUUACUUGGUGGUUCCAUCAAAGAUGUCAGCAGGAAAUUCUGAGGCAGGAUCAAGAGUGGGUGGAAGCACCUCUUUCACACUUCGGGAACAAAAACAUACCACAAUCAGUAACAAAAUCCGACAUAAAAAACAGCAAAGUACAGACAAACAAAAGUCUUAUUUCAAUUACCCAGAAGCCAUAACUGAAGGUGAUGGUGAAGAAACUCUGUAAAAAUUUUGUCUUGAAAGUGAAGUUCUGUAUGGUAUGCAAAUGUGGAUUUUGGACAGAGUAUAAAUAGUCGAAGGAGAACAACAUUCGAGGCCUUAAUGAAUCAGCACCGAUGAAUCGAGUCCUCGUGGAAAUGUAUGGUUCCAGGAUAAUUGAUUAUGUUCAAAGUGGCCCAUACAACAUUCACCUUUUUCUAAAGCCAGUCGGGAUUGCUUUGACAUUAAAUAUUAACACAACCGAUUGACAUUUGACAGAUAGUUGUUACCCACUUUUAAUUAUUACAGCAAAGACUUGGUGACGAGGGACAAUGGAUUAAUAUGAGGCCAACAUCCAGAAAGAAUCCAAACACCAAAUAAAUCGAGCUUUGGAAUAAUCUUUGUAUCAAACUUGUGUAGUAUAUCAUUUCUUGGGGGGAUGGUUUUGCAGAGAGCAACAACAUAUUUGAAUGGAGAGAUUUAUUGAAUGGAAGUACGAAGAAAUUCUAGAAGAAGCAUAUAAGAUGUCAACAUAAUCGCCAUAUCCGCGAAUUUAAACUAAAACAUUGCCUACCUUCGUGUUUGUAUGAUGGCUUUACGAAUCAAAGUAUUCUUCUUGAACUAUUGUAGCAUGGCUUGAUACUUCGUUGGAAAAAGACUUGGAACUACAGAAGUGGCUUUAUGUUUGCUCACCCACACAUGACGCGCUAUAACCUAGCAAAAGUUUUAAAAUAUUAUUUAUCUAUUUGGUACUUUAAUAAGGUCAUUGUGUACAUCAUUGUUGAUUUAUUUUAUUUUAUUUUAUUUUAUUGACAAAAGGGUGGAUCUCUUUUGCAAAAAUGUCAUAGUUAUGAGGUCGAUUGUAACCGUAAAACAUUAACACUGGGCCCACUUUCAUUUUUUUGUUUAAUAUGCUUAAAAUUUUCCUUUUAUAUAAAAUGUUUUGAGUGAAUUUGAGGAAUUUUAUAAAUUGAUUAGAAUGUUUGAUUUUUUGUUUGUUGAGAUUGAUGGCUUGAAAAUUAGAAAAACAGAAAGAGUUUAAAAUUGUAGUUAAAAUUAAUUUGAGAUGGUUUCAAGGUGCACAAAAAGUUAUUUUCUUCAUCUUUAUAGUAUUUUCUAUUGAUUUUUGCAUGUUUUUAUAAAUUAUUAGAAGUUGUAAAUUUUUAAAUUUUUUUUCCAAAUUAUAAAAUAAAAUCUAUUAAAGGAUCUCUUAACCCUAAUAAAAACUUAUAAUUUUUCAUCAAAGAAACAUAUCAGUCAACUUUUCAAAUGUUAAGAGAUUUGAAAUUAAUUUGUCGUGACAAUUAAGGGAUCAUAACAAAAGGGCUAUUUUGGAAUGAAAUUAUUUUUACUCUCUCAUAACUAAUUUUUAAUGAUAUAUUUUGAAUUGAAUUGAUAAUGUUACAAAACUUUAAAAAUAAGGGAGGCGAAUAACAUUUUUAAACUUUAAAGAUACUAAGUGAUAUUGUCAGAAACUUAUAGUUAUAGAGGAGGUUUCUGAAAUUAUCCCAUGAUCAUAUAUAUGUUCUGCCAACUAGUUGGCAUAUGAGGUUGGCAGACAAGUUCAUUUCCAAGCAUGGACAUAGUUUGUUAGGUUAAAACAAUUGCAGCAAGUCCUGCCCUGCCCAAAGGGUUUGUUUAGGUAUGGAAUUCUUUGCAAGAAAAUUUUUUGAUUGUAAACACAUUAUUAUUAUUUUUUAAAAUUAUUUUCUAAUUUCACAUCUAUCAUAUCAUAAAAAUUAUUAUAGUAUUAUUAUAAAAAGAAUUCUGAAUAAUCUCAUGUGUAGGUUUUUCUCUGUGGUUGCAAGACACUAUAGAUGAAUAUUUUGAAUGUUUGAUUUGUACCCCUUUAAUUUUGUGUUUGAUACUAAGCUGAGACUUGGGGUCUUUUCAUUUCAUUUUCUUCUUCUUCACUGGAAUUUAUUUUAAAAACACAAUGAUAAAUACAAAUAUAAAAAUUCUUGAAAAAUUAAGAAAUAGGUUAUAUUUAUCGUAUAAGUUGAUGUGUCACUUAAAAGUAGAUUUUUCUUUUCACUAAAACUAGAGACUUGAUCAACAUACGGUCAUGUACAACUGUGCAACAAAGGGAUAAGCAGAGCUCCAUAGACUCGCUAAAUUGCAGAUUCAUGAACGAUCAAGAAGGGAAAAAAGCAGCAUCCCCCCAGUCGUCUCCCAGCACUACUUGGGUUUUCAUCAUUCCUCCCUAUUACCACCGGUUUGAUAAGGCCACACACUUUACAGCCCAAGAAGCAAUCUAAAGGAGAGAAAUGCUGAAACGAUCAUCUAUAAGUACUAUAAUAGAAAGAUGCUUUUAUUAACUAGCAGUUGGAUUGGAAGACAAACUUCAAAAACCUCGUCCAAGUUUUCUGGGUAAUCUACCAAUUUUUGGGAAGCACGGACGCCUGAAAAGAUGUAUAGGUCCUAUCAAUCAAGAGAAUACCAAGCAUCCGUCAGUUGAGUAAAGAUAAAGCAGACUAUUAAGUCCGCAGAAGUUAUUCAAGCAGCUGCUCACAACCAGAAGACUUCUAACAAUGAUUACUGAGAUCAACUAGUGGCUUUUAUUACAGGUGUUACAGGCGAGGUACAACCUUGCAUCAUAAAAUUCCUCGGAGAUGACGAGUACACUUGUUCCAUUUCCAUGAAAUAUCUGGGGAUUGCGACAGCUCAAAACCGAGACUUCAUAUCAAAAGAGUUGGAUAAAAGUUAGAAGCAAUUCAUCCUUUAGCUCAUCAAAGUAGCUGAUAUGUGGUGGAAAAAUUUACCGAGAAACGCCUUUUGAAGGCUUCUGCAAGCUCCUUUGGGUCACGUUUUGUCACUUCAUAAGCCUCAAUCUUGUUAAUCUCCUGUAGAAGUAAUUUAACUAGGUUAUAACAAUCAACUGAAAGGAAGUACUUCUGUUACCUGCUGUAAGGGUGCCGCGUGCUAUAAAAGACGUACUCUAUCAUAAUAAAUGAUGUAUAAACCAUCACAGAGAAUACCAAAUCAAAAUCAAUGCUGAUUAAGAAAAGAAUUUAGUUUUGCAGAAUUGAUCAAGGGGUGGGUUAUUGAACCAACUUGCUUGUCUAAUAAUAAAAAUGGUGGAUAAUAUGUCCUAAAUCUCCCUGAUUUAAAAUCUAUUCAUGCAAUAUCCAGGUACAUAUGAGGUUUCUACAGAACGAAAUAUAUGUGAUUCUUUGUCGAUGAACGCUGCAAGUCAAACAUUACCAAGCUCAAAAAUCUCUUCCCCCCUAUCCAAGUUGCUUAUAUGAACACAAGAUCAUUACACUCAUGGAGGAUCACUAAAGAUUUUCAAGGACUGAAUGACAAGUAAAAUCGAUACUUUAUGCUGCCAUUUUUGGCCCGGUAAAUCUAUCCAUGUAGAACUAAAUUUUAUAGGCACCUGAAUCCAUGCUGCCAGUUUUGGCCUGCCCACUGUAAUAUCAUACUUCUUCACAUCCAACAAGAAGGGUUGAUACCUCUCAAUGAACGGAGCAUAAGCUAUAUCUACCUGAGAUUGCACAGAUGGAGCAUUUAGCACCCUAUGUUUGUUCAAUAUAUAGCAUGAAAUUUUAAAAAAUAAAAAAUAAAAACUCAAAAUCCAACCAACAUUAUAAAUCAUUUUCCAUUUGCAUAUCUGCUUCUUAUAACUUGACGGAAACACUUCAUUCCAAUCAUGGUGUUUAUCUCAAAUAUAAGUCCAAAGAUGAUACUUGCCAGACUAAAAGUUCCAAGGACAAAGGGACCAUCCCCAAAUUUGCCAAGGGCGUUCUCAAGGUAAUCAAAGGCAGCACCUAGUCAAACCACAUCCAUGGUAUCAAUUCUUCCAUGAAUUAUCAGUCAAAAAUCAUGAUCAUUGAUAUUACCAGCUUCACUAAUUGAAUCUGCCUUGAAAGAAGAAACCACAGCUUGAUUGAAGGAGUUGGUAUAGGACAGCAACUCUUCUGCAAACUCUCUCUUGGCUGGAUCCUACAGUUCCAGUUAAAACUCAAGCUAUUACAAAAUGCAGAUUAAUUAAGGAUCUUAAAGGAGCUCACUACAACUCAACAUUAUGAUGUUUAUGGAGAUCUUACGUCAGGAAGAAGUGAAGGACCUUCAAAGUUACCCUCCAGAUAUUUUAUCAGAUCAAGAGACUCUCCUUUAACUUCAUUAUUAUGUUCCAGAGAUGGCACCUGAAUGGGAAUAGAGCAGUAUAAGAUUCCUAAAGAAAUGUAGCAAUUACCAAGAGUAGUUGCGGUUGGUCAAAAGAGACUUUCUUUUCGACUUCAAGUGAACAAAUCAUCAAAUCCUGAUCAUUUGUGGGGCAGUUAAUGAUUCCAACUUCUGAUGCAAGGAGAGAUAUACAGUGCUUAAAGCAGGAAAUCAAUUCUGGCUGAGCAUGAUUAGUAUCAGAGAGCUAAUAUAGCAUAGAGCCAUUAGGUAAUCAACCUUGUUGGGUGGGUAAACUUUCUCCUUGUACCAGGCAGGCCUGUUCUGCAGGUCAAUAGGGAUCAGUUUUAUCUUAUCCUGCAAUCCCUACUCCAGAAAAGCGUAGAAACACCAAUUCAGUAACUCCAAAAAGUGUUACAGAAAAAUCAAAUCAAGUCCCUAGAACAAGGAUCGGGAACAGCUCCCCAAGCAACCUUAUAGUUCCUUGUAAUCCAUACACGUUGCGCAUAAGGGCAUGUGUAAGAUAUGUACAACCUAAAACCAAUGAAUCAAAACAUAAAAAAACGUCAAACUUAUGUGAAUAUAAUGACUGAAGGUAGUUCAAAUGUUCUAGAAAUAACUAAAUUUUGAAUUUGCCAAUUCCUCAUCUCAACAGUAGGAUAUUGCAUCCAUGUACAAUAUCCGACUCUCUUCGUCGAAGAUUUAAUGAGUUUUUUGUUCUCAAACAAAAUCCCAAGGACCAAAACAGCUUUAAGAUGGGAAUUAUGUUUCGGUAUUUCAGCAUAAAGUAAGUUCUCGAUUGGCAUAUUACAUUGCUCGAAUUGAGAAGUUGAGUAAUUUUAAUGUCCAAAUUCCAAGCCCAUGUAACAUGAUAAGGAAUGUCGGCAAAAUCCCAGAAGUGCAGAUAAGAGAAAUUGGAGCAAGUGAAAAUUUUUUAUCGACAAUUGGAAGUUUUAUGAUUUAAAUACUAGAUAACAAACAUACUGAAACAAGGAGAACAGUUAAAAAGACUUACUUGGUAGUACCAUCAAAGAUGGCAGGUGGUUCUGAAGAAGAAUCAAGAGCAGGUGGAAGCACCUCUUUCACACUUCAAAAUACAAAACAUCUCACCAUAAGCAACAGAAUCCCAAAAAUAAAAGCGGAAAAGAUGAACUGAUAGAGAUUCGAUUACCCAGAAGACAUUGCCGAAGCGGAUAGUGGAGAAAUUCUUGAAAAUUUAACAUGCGGGUGAAUAUUUCGAGGGUAUCUUAAUGGGUUUUUGGGUACAGAGCAUAUAGAGAAAACAGAAGGAAAUGUGAGGCGCGGAUUAGCAGCUGAUGAAGUUGGUAAGCUUACACUAGUGCCAGGUGUAGCAGCUGCCAUGAUCACAGAUGAACUUCAAAGUGGCCAUGUCGUGUUAAUUUAUGUCUCUGUUGGGCAAAUUCCACUUUACCCCCUGUGGUUUAACUUUUUUUGCAUAACCCCUUAUGGUUUCAAAAGCUAUACAUAACCUCCCUCGUGGUUUAGAUUAAAGUGUCAAAAUGACGGAAAUGAUCAUUCUUAACGGAGUCACCUAAAAUAUAAAAAAUACCUUUAUGUAAAAUUGAAAGUUAUUUAUUAAUCAAGGGGGGUUAUGUGUAUAUUUUGAAAACCAUUAGGGGGUUAUAUGGUAAAGUAUUAAAUCAUAAGGAGCUUAUCUAGUAAAAUAUAAAAAUUAUAGGGGGUGUCAUGUAUUUAUAAGGGUAAUUUCGACAUUUCUAGAAGUUCCGUUACAAUGACUAUUUCCGUUAUUUUGACACUUUAAUUCAAACCAUGAGAGAGGUAAUAUAAAAAAUCGCUAAAUCAUAGGGGGGUAAAAUGUAAUUUGCCCGUCUCUAUUUUUUAAUUUUUGGAUUGGCUUAUGAAGUGCGGAACUUUCUCUUGGAAUCUUUAUUCAAGGGGUGUUUGGUAAAUGAGUUUCAACUCCCAUUAGGUGUUUCAAAUUCAAUUAUACCUAUACAUGAUGUUUGCUUAGGGUCAAUGGAAUAAAUCAAUGGGAAUAAUAGGCUUAUUUCAUGGAUUUUAUGAUUAAUCACCUCUCACUAGAGAAUCAUCUUAACUACCCAUUUUACUCUACUUAAAGGUAAAAACACCCAUCUUAUUUUCCUUGAAUGUAAAAAUAAGAAAACAAAAUGCCACCGUUUGUGCUGGUUUCAACAAAUGGAAAAAAGAAAAAAGAAAAGUAAUAAAUUGUAAAAUCCAUUUCACAUUAACAAACACACUAUACUAUAGGUUUUGAUCAAAAUUCAUUAUCAUUGAACACUCUGUGACACCGAUAAUAAUAGUGAUUGUAGAAUUUGAAUCAAACGGCUCUCAAAUCAUUAAUAAGAUUGCCGGUAUUUCUUGCUCCCAGUGCCAAAUGUCACGACACAGUAGCGUAACGCUAAAACUCAGUAAAAUGAUAAACCCUGGCCACUACACGCCACUCGUUUGGUUGGGAGGUUUCGCACUCCUUAAUGGGAAUGAGAUGGUAGCGUUCUCCUUUGAUCAUGUUUGAUACAUUACUAUGGGUAUUUUCAUUGCCUACUUUUGGAUCUUGCAAACUCAAAAACUCACUAAAUUGGGAACUGUCAGUCUGAUAACCCACUUUUUAGAGGAAAAUAAAUCAAAAUUGAACUUAGAGAUUGUGAAGAAUCCGGAAAGGAAGAGCACGGGUGAUACAAAUUAUCCCCUCCUUGCUGGUGCAGGUUGCCCUCCCAAUCGGCUUCAUCCCUCUCGCUCGUCGAGGGAAAUGAUGCUUAGAGUUGUCUUUGUCCAUGUAUUGUUAGAUUUGAAGCAAAUUUGCAUUGAUUCACACCUUGCACAACAGCAGCAGUUGCUCCUAAAGUCUACCUGUUCAAUCGUCUUUUGCUCCUAAAGCUUCACCAUGGCUCUUUUUUUUUUCCGAAUUUUCUUAGUUUUCGCUCGAGUUUACCUAUAUAGAAAGCAAUUUUAAAAACACGAUAUGCCUCUACAAUAAAUACAAAUAUGAAAACUCCAAACAAAUUAGAAAAUGAGCCAUCAUUUCGUUUGCGUUUAUCGUGUAAGUCAAUAUAUCGCUUAAGAGUAGAUUUUUCUUUUCACUAAAACCAAGGCUUGAUCAACAUAUGAUAUGGUUAUGUACAACUGUGCAACAAAGGGAUAAGCAGAGCUCCAACGACUCAUUAAAUUUCAGAUUUAUCAUCCAACAAGAAGAUAAAAAGGCAGCAUCCCAAUUGUCUCUUAGCCCUAUUUGGGUUUUCAUCAUUUCUCCCUAUUACCACCUCUUAAUAAGGCCAAACACUUCACAGACCUUGAAGUAAUCUAAAGUAGAUAGAAAUGCUGAAACCAUAAUCGAUUAGUACUAUGAUAUAGAAAGAUGCUUUUAUUUAACUAGUACUCGGAAGACGAACUUUAAAUCCUCAUCCAAGUUUUCUGGGUCAUCUACCAAUUUUGGGAAGCCCGGACACACUAAAAGAUGUUCAGGUCCUAUUCAGAGAAUACCAAGCAUCCGCCAGUUUAGUUAAGACAGAGUAAACUAUUAAGUCCGCAGAAGUUAUUCAAACAGCUGCUCACAACCAGAAGAUGUCUAACAACGAAUACU
rnacentral:lncRNA from 1 species